rnacentral:rRNA from 1 species
UACGGGGGGAGCAAGCGUUGUUCGGAUUUACUGGGCGUAAAGGGCGCGUAGGCGGCGUGGUAAGUCACUUGUGAAAUCUCCGGGCUUAACUCGGAACGGUCAAGUGAUACUGCUGCGCUAGAGUGCGGAAGGGGCAACUGGAAUUCUCGGUGUAGCGGUGAAAUGCGUAGAUAUCGAGAGGAACACCGGUGGCGAAGGCGGCAUUCUGGACCAUAACUGACACUGAGAGACGAAAGCCAGGGGAGCAAACGGG